rnacentral:rRNA from 1 species
CCAAUAGCGUAUAUUAAAGUUGUUGCAGUUAAAAAGCUCGUAGUUGAAUUUCGGGAUCGGUGGGUUGGUCGUGCCUCUGGUACGUACUGGCUCAACCGGUUCCUCCCUUCUGACGAACCACGAUGUCAUUAAUUUGGUGUUGUGGGGAAUCAGGACUGUUACUUUGAAAAAAUUAGAGUGUUUAAAGCGGGCUAAAGCUUGAAUAGAUUAGCAUGGAAUA